AUAGGGGAGCCGGAGGGAAACCGAGUCUUAAUUGGGCGUUAAGUUGCAGGGUAUAGACCCGAAACCCGGUGAUCUAGCCAUGGGCAGGUUGAAGGUUGGGUAACACUAACUGGAGGACCGAACCGACUAAUGUUGAAAAAUUAGCGGAUGACCUGUGGCUGGGGGUGAAAGGCCAAUCAAACCGGGAGAUAGCUGGUUCUCCCCGAAAGCUAUUUAGGUAGCGCCUCGUGAAUUCAUCUCCGGGGGUAGAGCACUGUUUCGGCUAGGGGGCCAUCCCGGCUUACCAACCCGAUGCAAACUGCGAAUACCGGAGAAUGUUAUCACGGGAGACACACGGCGGGUGCUAACGUCCGUCGUGAAGAGGGAAACAACCCAGACCGCCAGCUAAGGUCCCAAAGUCAUGGUUAAGUGGGAAACGAUGUGGGAAGGCCCAGACAGCCAGGAUGUUGGCUUAGAAGCAGCCAUCAUUUAAAGAAAGCGUAAUAGCUCACUGGUCGAGUCGGCCUGCGCGGAAGAUGUAACGGGGCUAAACCAUGCACCGAAGCUGCGGCAGCGACGCUUAUGCGU
rnacentral:rRNA from 1 species